rnacentral:lncRNA from 1 species
AUUAUUCAUAAUUUAUAUAUAAUCUCAGCUUUUAUUUAACUAAUACAGUACAUAAUUCCAAUGGACUGAUUUGCAAUAACGUCAAAAAAUAAUGCCUUGUACUACACAUACAUAAAAAACAAUAUUUUAAAGAUGUGUAAUUUCAAUGAAAUCCACAAAAUCAAAUGUAUUCAAACUUAAGUAUAUACUUCAAAAACUCUUUGAUCAGUAUUGCCAUUCAAAUUCAAUCACCCGCAUUUCCCUACACAUUAAAAAAGAAAUUAAAAAUUAGAGAGAAUCCUUGUUAAACAAAUUGAAUGUAAUCAGAUUUCAUGUUCAUAUGUAAUAGAUAUCAGUGACAAAACAUUAAAAAGAAACCAUGUUCUAACAGAAAAAUGUUAGAAUCAUCUGAUGAACCAUUGUAGAAACAAAGCCAGCGAUGAUAGAAUCAAUGCUCACAAGGAAGAUCAAGCUAAAAAAAUCAAAGACCAAAGAGUUGAUAAGGAUAUGAUGGAUGAGUUGCAACCUGCCUCAAGAAGGAAGACAAUCAAAACCAAACAACCUCAGAAAUCACGCAACAACAUGUUACUGGCAGCAACAUGUAACUGGCAGCAACAAGGAAGGCAAAAUGCAAGGUCAUCUG